ACUCAAAUGAAUUGACGGGGAUCCGCACAAGUGGAGGAUCAUGUGGUUUAAUUCGACGGUAAGCGAGAAACCUCACCAGGGUUUGAAACUGGGCUGCAAGCUCUAGAAAUAGAGCCGCCUUCGAGGGUGCCCAGCAGGUGCUGCAUGGUUGUCGUCAGCUCGUGUCGUAAGAUGUUCCGUUAAGUCGGGAAACGAGCGCAACCCCUGUCGCGUGUUAUAUAUGUCACGCGAGACUGCCCAGACUAGAGUUCAUAAAGAAAUUUGUGACCUGCAGUCUGGGAGGAAGGAGGGGAUGACGUCAAAUCAGCAUGGCCCUUUGACACCCUGGGCAACACACGUGAUACAAUGGACGGUACAGAGGGUUGCCAAGUCGCGAGACGGAGCCAAUCCCAAAAAACCGUUCUCAGUUCGGAUAGGAGUCUGCAACUCGACUCCUUGAAGCUGGAUUCACUAGUAAUCGGAGAUCAGAACGCUCCGGUGAAUACGUUCUCGGAUCUUGUACACACCGCCCGU
rnacentral:rRNA from 1 species